rnacentral:rRNA from 1 species
UACGAAGGGUGCAAGCGUUACUCGGAAUCACUGGGCGUAAAGCGUGCGUAGGCGGUUCGUUAAGUCUGCUGUGAAAGCCCUGGGCUCAACCUGGGAACUGCAGUGGAUACUGGCGGACUAGAGUGUGAUAGAGGAUGGUGGAAUUCCCGGUGUAGCGGUGAAAUUCGUAGAUAUUGGGAAGAACACCGGUGGCGAAGGCGGCGACCUGGUCCGAUACUGACGCUGAGGCGCGAAAGCGUGGGGAGCAAACAGG